CUUCUGCUGAAGAGUCCCAAACUAGGACGAAAUAGCUGUCCAGUAC
rnacentral:hammerhead_ribozyme from 1 species